UACGUAGGGGGCGAGCGUUGUCCGGAUUUAUUGGGCGUAAAGAGCGUGUAGGCGGCCAGGUAGGUCUGCUGUGAAAACUCGAGGCUCAACCUCGAGACGUCGGCGGAAACCAUCUGGCUAGAGUCCGGAAGAGGAGAGUGGAAUUCCUGGUGUAGCGGUGAAAUGCGCAGAUAUCAGGAAGAACACCCGUGGCGAAGGCGGCUCUCUGGGACGGUACUGACGCUGAGACGCGAAAGCGGGGGGAGCGAACAGG
rnacentral:rRNA from 1 species